GUGCAAAGUGAUCUUACCGUGCUUUGCAUGGUCAGAGGCUUGGUCGGCUUGACCGCUGUAGUCUAUCAACGUGCAUGAGUAGCUUUGGACAUGUGUCUGCCGGUAGAUCCCCCGUUGUACUUCGGCCGACUACCGGCGCCGUGUCYCGUCACUUUUGUGGCAUUGUCCCAAURGAUUGAACAUGUGGCUUGCGUGCUAGUACCCGACCUACGGGAAGUGGUGCUUCAUAUAAUUGUUGCCUCACGGUGGACGCCCCUUUGGGUGUGCCAUUGUGACCGAAUAGCGCUUGCGGCGUUGCCUCGUACAUCAGCACAUAUAAUGUGCCUGUUGAUAUCACGGCAUCCUCGCUCUCGCUUUUGGUCUAGGAUGCUGCUUACGAUAAAGGCUCGAGGCCCUUCGGGUUGCCUYGAUCCGAAACRAUGCUCUCUCCGAAAUGGCGAUAACCGGGUACAUGUCUUGCCUCUGCCUCUCCACAGUUAUGUGGUAGGAUACGCAACCCUAUGAUCCGGCCCUCAUGGAGGAGGAGACAUGUUUCUCUCCRAAAUGGCGACAACCGGGUAAAUGUCUUGCCUCUACCUCUCCACAGUUACGUGGUAGGAUACGCAAGCAUCAUCCGAUCCUCAUGGAGGAGGAAACAUGCUCUCUCUGAAAUGGCGAUAACCGGGUUCAUGUCUUGCCUCUACCUCCCCACAAUUACGUGGUAGGAUACGCAACCCUAUGAUCCGGCCCUCAUGGAGGAUGAGCAAUGCCCGCACAAAAGCGACAACUGGCUCGGCUGUUGCGUUUGCCUUUCCACGCAAGUGGAAUCGCAGGGUAACUACCGAUGCUGGAAGUCCCCGAGGACGUGCU
rnacentral:misc_RNA from 1 species